rnacentral:rRNA from 2 species
UACGUAGGGGGCAAGCGUUGUCCGGAAUCACUGGGCGUAAAGCGUGCGUAGGCGGUUUGUUAAGUUCGGGGUGAAAGUCCAAGGCUCAACCUUGGGAAUGCCUUGAAAACUGGCAGACUUGAGUACUGGAGAGGCAAGGGGAAUUCCACGUGUAGCGGUGAAAUGCGUAGAUAUGUGGAGGAAUACCAGUGGCGAAGGCGCCUUGCUGGACAGUGACUGACGCUGAGGCACGAAAGCGUGGGGAGCAAACAGG